rnacentral:misc_RNA from 1 species
CGUAUAAUUGUAUUUAUUUUAUAUAUUAGUAAAGUAAUGUUUAAAAUUAUUUAAGUUAAGUUUUAGUAAUAUAUGAAUAGUGAAUUUUUUGAUGUUUAAGUUAGUUUUAGAAAAGGUAGAGGAAUUAGAGAUUAAAUUGUUAAUAUUCGUUGGAUUAUGGAAAAAGUAAGAGAGUUUUAGAAAAAUAUUUAUUUUUGUUUUAUUGAUUAUGUUAAAGUUUUUGAUUGUGUGGAUUAUAAUAAAUUGUGGAAAAUUUUGAAAGAGAUGGGAAUAUUAGAUUAUUUGAUUUGUUUUUUGAGAAAUUUGUAUGUAGGUUAGGAAGUAAUAGUUAGAAUUGGAUAUGGAAUAAUAGAUUGGUUUUAAAUAGGAAAAGGAGUACGUUAAGGUUGUAUAUUGUUAUUUUGUUUAUUUAAUUUAUAUGUAGAGUAUAUUAUGAGAAACGUUGGGUUGGAAGAAGUAUAAGUUGGAAUUAAGAUUGUUGGGAGAAAUAUUAAUAAUUUUAGAUAUGUAGAUGAUAUUAUUUUUAUGGUAGAAAGUGAAGAGGAAUUAAAAAGUUUUUUGAUGAAAGUGAAAGAGGAGAGUGAAAAAGUUGGUUUAAAGUUUAAUAUUUAGAAAACGAAGAUUAUGGUAUUUGGUUUUAUUAUUUUAUGGGAAAUAGAUGGGGAAAUAGUGGAAAUAGUGUUAGAUUUUAUUUUUUUGGGUUUUAAAAUUAUUGUAGAUGGUGAUUGUAGUUAUGAAAUUAAAAGACGUUUAUUUUUUGGAAGGAAAGUUAUGAUUAAUUUAGAUAGUAUAUUUAAAAGUAGAGAUAUUAUUUUGUUAAUAAAGGUUCGUUUAGUUAAGGUUAUGGUUUUUUUAGUGGUUAUGUAUGGAUGUGAGAGUUGGAUUGUGAAGAAAGUUGAGUGUUAAAGAAUUGAUGUUUUUGAAUUGUGGUGUUGGAGAAGAUUUUUGAGAGUUUUUUGGAUUGUAAGGAGAUUUAAUUAGUUUAUUUUGAAGGAGAUUAGUUUUGGGAUUUUUUUGGAAGGAAUGAUGUUAAAGUUGAAAUUUUAGUAUUUUGGUUAUUUUAUGUGAAGAGUUGAUUUAUUGGAAAAGAUUUUGAUGUUGGGAGGGAUUGGGGGUAGGAGGAGAAGGGGACGAUAGAGGAUGAGAUGGUUGGAUGGUAUUAUUGAUUUAAUGGAUAUGAGUUUGAGUAAAUUUUAGGAGAUAGUGAAGGAUAGGGAAGUUUGGUGUGUUGUAGUUUAUGGGGUUGUAAAGAGUUGGAUAUGAUUGAGUGAUUGAAUUGAAUUGAAUUGAAUUGA